rnacentral:rRNA from 1 species
AUUGAACGCUGGCGGAAUGCUUUACACAUGCAAGUCGAGCGGCAGCGCGGGGGCAACCUUGGCGGCGAGCGGCGAACGGGUGAGUAACAUAUCGGAACGUACCCCGUCGUGGGGGAUAACACAGCGAAAGCUGUGCUAAUACCGCAUACGACCUGAGGGUGAAAGCGGGGGACCGUAAGGCCUCGCGCGAUGGGAGCGGCCGAUAUCGGAUUAGCUUGUUGGUGAGGUAAAGGCUCACCAAGGCGACGAUCCGUAGCUGGUCUGAGAGGACGACCAGCCACACUGGAACUAAGACACGGUCCAGACUCCUACGGGAGGCAGCAGUGGGGAAUUUUGGACAAUGGGGGCAACCCUGAUCCAGCCAUUCCGCGUGAGUGAAGAAGGCCUUCGGGUUGUAAAGCUCUUUCGGCAGGAACGAAACGGUGGCCACUAAUACUGGCUACUAAUGACGGUACCUGAAGAAGAAGCACCGGCUAACUACGUGCCAGCCGCCGCCGUAACAC